rnacentral:rRNA from 1 species
ACUGCGGAGGAUCAUUAAUGAGGU